rnacentral:rRNA from 1 species
CCUACGGGGGGCAGCAGUGGGGAAUAUUGCACAAUGGGGGAAACCCUGAUGCAGCGACGCCGCGUGAAGGAAGAAGUAUUUCGGUAUGUAAACUUCUAUUAGCAGGGAAGAAAGUGACGGUACCUGACUAAGAAGCCCCGGCUAACUACGUGCCAGCAGCCGCGGUAAUACGUAGGGGGCAAGCGUUAUCCGGAUUUACUGGGUGUAAAGGGAGCGUAGGCGGCGAUGUAAGUCAGAAGUGAAAGCCCGGGGCUCAACUCCGGGACUGCCUUUGAAACUGUAUGGCUAGAUUGCAGGAGAGGCAAGUGGAAUGCCUAGUGUAGCGGUGAAAUGCGUAGAUAUUAUGAGGAACACCAGUGGCGAAGGCGGCUUGCUGGACUGUAAAUGACGCUGAGGCUCGAAAGCGUGGGGAGCAAACAGGAUUAGAUACCCGGGUAGUC